GCUUGUAAAGACAUCCAUUCUUGCAACGACUGUUCAUACAUCUUGUCAUCACGUACGUGGUGACGCGUUAUAAACCUUGGCAAGUGUCGAGAAUACGAGUCGGUCACUGAGCAUCUUAACGAUGCAGUCGAGUGUCUUCUGCCUUUGGCUCUUGUGUUCAUGCGCACUUGGAGCAACGUGGUUCCCGAACGAUGAUGCUGAUAUGCAAGGACGUAACGUGCCUACGUCCCCGCCAGAACCGUGCCCCCAAGGGCAGGAAAUGUCCGACGGAUCUGCAAUCACCGAAUGCAGAGCCGACUGUAACCACAACGGCACCACACCUGGUACACUGGCUUGCACCACGAGACAAAGCGGUUGCGUAUGUGACCACAGCAAACACCGUGUUCUUAAUCUGCGGGACUGCAUUGGCGAAGCUGUUUGUAAUCGAAUGUAUGAGAUCAGCCAAGGCGAAUGAGGCGCAGUGUACGUGAUGGUCCUACGUUCCAGACGUUAUGCUGAAUAAGGCGAAAACGUUGUUCAAAUAAAAGCUCCAAUUGAACCUGG